GGGAAGGUUCUGGAAGGCUCAGAAGUUUGGGAAGGUUCCGGAAGGUUCCAGAAGGUUCCGGAAGGCUCGGGAAGGUUCCGGAAGGGGCGGGGCCGCACCUGCUCGGCGUAGAGGUCGUCGCGGUCGUGCAUGUGCUGGUGCUUGCCCAGGUCGGUGGUGAU